rnacentral:rRNA from 1 species
GACGAACGCUGGCGGCGUGCUUAACACAUGCAAGUCGAACGGACAGACCCUGCUCUUGUGGGGUGCUCGAGUGGCGAACGGGUGAGUAACACGUGAGUAACCUGCCCUUGACUUUGGGAUAACUUCAGGAAACUCGGGCUAAUACAGGAUAGGAGCUCCUGCUGCAUGGUGGGGAUUGGAAAGUUUCGGCGGUUGGGGAUGGACUCGCUGCUUCUCAGCUUGUUGGUGGGGUAGUGGAUUACCAAGGCUUUGACGGGUAGCCGGCCUGAGAGGGUGACCGGCGACAUUGGGACUGAGAGACGGCCCAGACUCGUACGGGAGGCAGAAGGCGGGAAUAUGACGCAAUGGGCGGAAGCCUGAGACAGCAACGCCGCGUGCGUGAUGACGUCCUUCGGGGUGUAAACCGCUUUCGCCUGUGACGAAGCGUGAGUGACGGUAAUGGGUAAAGAAGCACCGGCUAACUACGUG